rnacentral:rRNA from 1 species
GCCUGCCCAGUGACCAUGAGUUCAACGGCCGCGGUAUUCUGACCGCGCGAAGGUAGCGUAAUCACUUGUUUUUUAAAUAAAGACUGGUAUGAACGGCCGCACGAGGACCUAACUGUCUCCUUUGUCCAAUCAGUGAAACUGAUCUCCUCGUGCAGAAGCGAGGAUUUUAUCAUAAGACGAGAAGACCCUAUGGAGCUUUAAACUUUUAUUAAUUAUUUUCUUCACCCCUCUAAGGAGCUAAAAACCAAUUUAAUUUUUUAAUAAAAGUUUUAGGUUGGGGCGACCAUGGAGAAAAAAAUAUCCUCCCUGAUGACACCUAACUAAGAGCCACAGCUCCAAGUAUUAAGACACUUAACUCCUAUUGACCCAUUUUAUGAUCAACGAACCAAGUUACCCUAGGGAUAACAGCGCAAUCCAUUUCAAGAGUCCCUAUCGACAAAUGGGUUUACGACCUCGAUGUUGGAUCAGGGCAUCCAAGUGGUGCAACCGCUACUAAAGGUUCGUUUGUUCAACGAUUAAAGCCCU